AGUGAACGCUGGCGGUAGACCUAACACAUGCAAGUCGAACGGCAGCACAGUAAGAGCUUGCUCUUACGGGUGGCGAGUGGCGGACGGGUGAGGAAUACAUCGGAAUCUACUUUUUCGUGGGGGAUAACGUAGGGAAACUUACGCUAAUACCGCAUACGACCUACGGGUGAAAGCAGGGGAUCUUCGGACCUUGCGCGAUUGAAUGAGCCGAUGUCGGAUUAGCUAGUUGGCGGGGUAAAGGCCCACCAAGGCGACGAUCCGUAGCUGGUCUGAGAGGAUGAUCAGCCACACUGGAACUGAGACACGGUCCAGACUCCGAGGGGAGGCAGCAGGGGGGAAUAUUGGAAAAGGGCGCAAGCCUGAUCCAGCCAUACCGCGUGGGUGAAGAAGGCCUUCGGGUUGUAAAGCCCUUUUGUUGGGAAAGAAAAGCAGCAGGUUAAUACCCCGCUGUUCUGACGGUACCCAAAGAAUAAGCACCGGCUAACUUCGUG
rnacentral:rRNA from 1 species